ensembl:lncRNA
AAAGAAUGGCGGUCCAGUGAACCGUUUGAAAGUCUCCUUCAUGGGAGAACCAGGGGGUUGACACUGGAGCACUAAAAAAAGAGUUCCUGUCCGGUGUAUUUUUGCUGCAUCCAUCCAUUUCCCAAAAAAAGAACAUAACUGCCGGUGUGCUUCUGCAGGACACAGUAUCAAAGUGGUCAGAGCUUGAGAAAAAAUUGGCUAAAUUCAUGAUUUUUAAAUGUUUGCCCCAACAUAGUCUAAUGCUGUUUUAUCAUUUGUCUUUGGCUGUUGCAAAGAUUGCUGGGAUCGAGAAGCGACUAUUUG